UAAUUUCUGCGGUGUUUGUUGACUCAGAUAAUUCAACCGACAUAUCAGACACGGGAGUCUGCGUUUAAUAUAGGAUAACACGCCUCUAUUAUGUGGAAGUUAGAGUAUAUUAACAGGAUACCCACCUUAAAAGUAGGCGGGUGUGAAUUAAAUGAGUAUGACGGCAUUGCGGUAAUAAG
rnacentral:other from 1 species